CCUACGGGAGGCAGCAGUGGGGAAUCUUGGACAAUGGGGGCAACCCUGAUCCAGCCAUGCCGCGUGAGUGAAGAAGGCCCUAGGGUCGUAAAACUCUUUCGCCUGUGAUGAUAAUGACAGUAGCAGGUAAAGAAACCCCGGCUAACUCCGUGCCAGCAGCCGCGGUAAUACGGAGGGGGUUAGCGUUGUUCGGAAUUACUGGGCGUAAAGCGCACGUAGGCGGAUUAGAAAGUUAGAGGUGAAAUCCCGGGGCUCAACCCCGGAACUGCCUUUAAAACUACUAGUCUAGAGUUCGAGAGAGGUGAGUGGAAUUCCGAGUGUAGAGGUGAAAUUCGUAGAUAUUCGGAGGAACACCAGUGGCGAAGGCGGCUCACUGGCUCGAUACUGACGCUGAGGUGCGAAAGUGUGGGGAGCAAACAGGAUUAGAUACCCUGGUAGUCCACACCGUAAACGAUGAAUGCCAGUCGUCGGGUAGUAUACUAUUCGGUGACACACCUAACGGAUUAAGCAUUCCGCCUGGGGAGUACGGUCGCAAGAUUAAAACUCAAAUGAAUGACGG
rnacentral:rRNA from 1 species